UGUGGCAACAAUAAUCGGUGGGAACAAGUCUUGUAACAGCUUGAGGCAAACUAUGAAGGCAUCAACCAUUUUUAGUCUCUUUCUUGCUUCUCCCUUCUUGACUGAUUGUGUCAAAGAAGUCCCCAAUUUGCAGCCUUAAUUCACCAAAUUGAAGCUGCAAUUUUUAAGGCAGUAAACUAACUCCCAAACAGAGCAGCUAGAAGCUACUAAAACCAGUGCAGGCAGCAGCAACCAGCUGCUAUAGUCGGUGUAAUAAUAGCAGCUCCUCAAGCAAUUGUAAAAUCAUUGAAGCAAGGAAUGGACAAGAACAUGUAGCAGCAAAGAACGAUAUCAAGGAGGCAGAUCCAUAAACAGCAUCAGUAGCUCAUAUUUGGAACGGAAUUCAGCAACUGAAAACUAAAAGUUAGUCCUUUGGCAUCAAGAACUUGGACUACUAAUUUCCCUUUCUUCUCUUUCUCAUGAAUGUGUUGUAAACGAGUCUUAUUUCCUCCUCAAGCAUAAUACAGUAUUUAGCAACACUUGAUUUUGCCAACAUUCUUAAAUUUCCACUCAAUUACCUUAGUAUUCGGC
rnacentral:lncRNA from 1 species